GACGAACGCUGGCGGCGUGCUUAACACAUGCAAGUCGAACGGAAAGGCCCUGCUUGCAGGGUACUCGAGUGGCGAACGGGUGAGUAACACGUGUGUGAUCUGCCCUGCACUUCGGGAUAAGCCUGGUAAACUGGGUCUAAUACCGGAUAGGAGCCAUUUUUAGUGUGAUGGUUGGAAAGUUUUUUGGGUGUAGGAUGAGCGCGCGGCCUAUCAGCUUGUUGGUGGGGUAAUGGCCUACCAAGGCGGCGACGGGUAGCCGGCCUGAGAGGGUGGGCGGCCACAUUGGGACUGGGAUACGGCCCAGACUCCUACGGGAGGCAGCAGUGGGGAAUAUUGCACAAUGGGCGCAAGCCUGAUGCAGCGACGCCGCGUGGGGGAUGACGGCCUUCGGGUUGUAAACUCCUUUCGCUAGGGACGAAGCUUUUUGUGACGGUACCUAGAUAAGAAGCACCGGCUAACUACGUG
rnacentral:rRNA from 1 species